UAUCCAACAACCAAACUGCUCCAGCCCAAACCCCUAAUUCCCCAACUAAACUCCUAAUCCUCUUUCCCUUGUUCAUUCCCAACCAAACGAACUAACCGACAAUGAACAGAUGUUCUCCUUUUAUGAAGUACCCAUGAACCCACGCCUUUCUUUCUUUUAUAUCGAAAUCAGUACCACAGUCGCCCAUCUCCAUCGGUAUCAGCUUUAAAGUCUCAAAGCUACGUAAAGCUUAAAUCCUUCCCUGAAAACUUCUUAAAAGGGAGGGCUAUGGGUGUUCAACAUUUUCUGAAGUGUUUUUACAUUAAUUCAACAGUCAAAGAACUCAUCUGUCUUGAAGAACUCAAAUCAGAUUUCCAUCAAGUCAAUCUUUCAAAUCACUUCUAAAAGGUGGUUUUAUCUUCCUCACACUCUAAACAGUCACUUUCUUACCCUUUUGGGACAUGGUUCAAAUGUUAGAAAGUUGGGGAAUUUUUAAGCCUAUGAUACUCUUUCACUCACUAAGUUUGCUCUAUUUUAUAGCUUCUGAUUACACUUUUCUUACUCUCAUUGCUUUUGAUCACUUGCAUUCGAAGUCCGAGUUUGAGUUCGAAUCUCCGUCGAGAAAACUCCAGUUCGCUGUCCCGCACAAGGUACUAAAAAGAAGGAAAACUGAUGCAAAAAGAAGGUAGGGUAACCGACGGAAUAAUCCGCAGUCGUUGCAACCAUGUCCAGAAACCAAGAAUCUGGGAAAGCCACGAUGGAGUUUUUUGAUGGACCGUCGCACGUGCGAUGCACCAUCGCACUGAACCGUCGUAGAUUGGUACCAGGCGACAAUACUCGCGACGAACCAUCGGAUACCCGACGAACCAUCGCCUGACACCGUCACACCUGUCUUAGAAACUGACUCACUGGAAUAACCCUGACGGUAGGGGUCGAUGGACCAUCGUAUACCCGACAGACCGUCGCCUUAGACCGUCGUAAAUUUCUCAGAAUUAGAGUUAAUGGAAUAACCUGAUGGUGCCAUCGCUCCCAAAUUACCAUAAUCCAGAGGCAGGGGCAGAGGCCAAUAAGCUGGGCAUGGCCCAUCACAAGGUUCUAAUGCACUGGCCUGCAACACUAGGCAAAGUCGUUAAGUGAUUUUGUCAUCCUCCUCGUCUGAAGAGGUGGUUGAAAGCAGCAGCAGUACCUCAAUUUCAAUUCCGCUAGAGGUGGGGGUUGAAACUUCUAACCCCGUUCAAGAGAAGGAUACAGAACUGGAAAAUCCAAAUUUGGUCCGGCGUAAGGAUCUGCAAGUACGAGAAGCAUUGAGAUGGCAGGUUGACGGUGCUCAAGAAGAAUUUUACAAAGGGCUGGAGCCUGUGCCCAUCAAGAGGGCCAUCUUUGAAGAGUAUCAGAUCAUAACAGCUCUGCAGGAGUAUCCCAAACUCGAGCAGCGGUUCGAUGAGUAUGAGUUUGCUUGGAUGAGUAAGCCACUUGGAUCCUACCAACCUAACCUGGUUCGCGAGUUUUUUGCCAACUAUUUGGCUUUGCUGAAAAAGGAUUGUCCCAAAGGUUCCUCAGUUGCUGACAAGAACAAGUGGGAGAUAGUUCCAGUCCGUGGAGUUAUAUUGAUAUUUCAGAGCAAACUUUGAACAGGUUCUUAUUUAGGCCCGACUAUCAGAUACCAGGGGAAAUUCUUGAUUUAGAGCAUCGGUUAUUCACACGGGCUAGAGAAAUGGCCCUGGUUAGCGAGGGUUUUGACAGAUAGGGGUGAGACUUUAUGGCUACAUGACCCUCAUGAACGAAUAUCGAAGAAAUUCCUAAGCUUCAGGGCCAAAUUUUGGUGGGCGAUUGUGUGACUAAGGCUGAUGCCCACAAGGGGUGAUGAUCGCCUCGAGAGCACUAGAGCCGUGAUAGUUGUUGAUUUAAUUAAAUGGUUGACCGUGGAUUUUGGCCACAUUAUCUCCGAAGAGUUAUUUUUCCGAGCUCACAAGACUCACACUGCCCUACCGUUUCCAUGCCUUAUCACCGAGUUAUGCAAGAAGGAAAAUGUUCCUUUGAUCAGUGGAGUAGAUAAUGAGGUUCCAGCACUGCAUAAAUAGGACAUUAAAAAGACGAAUGAUGACUAGAGGUUCGAUUUAUGAACCAACAAGCCUCCAGCUCAGCAGACUCAGUCCACACCGAUGCUCGAAUCAUCAGAUUUUCCUGCAGGUAUGCCAUUGCCUCUGACUAUGUAUGUGCCUCAUACCACCUCUACAAGUUCAACUUCUAUGUCGAUGGGUGGGACCCAGACUCUGCGUUUGUCCUGCCCCAACCUUCUGAGUACAGGCUGAACCCUGACAACUUCGCAAAGACUAUGCGAACUGUCAAAAAGGUCAAAAAUCAAAUAGCAAUUUGGGGGAAAGAUUUCAAACCCUUUGUGGAGAAAAUUAUGGAGGAUGCAUUGUGCCUCUUCAAAAACAUCCAGCUAUGCAUGGACCACAUGGAAGAGCGCAUAAACAAAAAGUUGGAUGAAAUGUCCAUUCCUGAUUUUGCUAAAGUGAUAGAGGAGGUUAGACAUCUCCGGGCAGAUGUCGAUUAGAUAAGUCAACAUCCACAGCAAACCACAUUCGAUCCAGUCCAAGUUGCUAGUGAUGAGGAAGAAGGCCUUGUUGAUCUAUUUAGGCAUCCGAUCAAAGACAAAGGUAAGCAAGUGGCGGAAUCAGAUAAGAAAACUGAGAAAGUGGCCAAGAAAGAAGAGAAAAAAUAAUGACUUGUAGCCAUGUCACCUGAAUAAUUCGACGACUACCAGCUGCAGCGAGUAAAGAAGAAGUCAAAGAAAGAGGCAAAGAGGCACCAGAAAAAGCUUCAAGAUGAAGCAGCUGGAGUAUCCACUACUUCAGCCCCAGUCAGGGGGAAGAUUUUAGAUCCUGGCAGAGAUGUGAUCCCUCCAAUUUCGGAGUGCGAGAUUUUGAGAACUCCCACCACCAUGGGGGUCAACGAUGCACCUGGUGAGGCCACUGGUGCCUCACCACACUUAACAGAUGCCUCAGAUGAAUGAGAGGCAUACUACAAGUAUUUCCCCUCCUUUGUACUUUUAUUUUAUGCAUUGAGGACAACACAUUCUUUUCUGUGGGGGUGGGAUGUACUUGUACCAUGGGAGGGAUAUGUUGCCGACAUUCUUGACCCUACCAUGUGCUAUCUAGGAGAAGCGGCAUGUCUAGGAUUAUGUUAUUGUCUAAGUUUAAUCUCGGUUUUUGCAUGUUUCUUGUUUUUAAGUCUGUUAUGUUGCUAAGGUUAGUUCACGAAAUAAAAAAGUGUUAUUUGUGUAGUAUCUUGUUGCAAAUACGGAUGAUAAAUGAUAUUGGCAUCAUGCAACAA